rnacentral:snRNA from 1 species
AUGUUCACUUCCACAGUACAUAUACUAAAAUUUGGAAUGAUGCAGAUUCCCACAGCCCCUGUGCAAGGAUCACAUGGAAACCCAUGAAGCAUUCCGUAAUUUU